CAGACUUACACACACUAUACACAGACAUACACACAUAUACACAUACACAGACACACACAUACAGACACACAUAUAUAUACAUACACAUACACACAUAUAUAUAUAUACACACACAUAUAUAUACACACACACAGACAGACACACAGACAUACACAUGCAGACACAUAUAUACACACACUUACAGACAUACACACACAUAUACACAUACACAGACACACAUACAGACACACACAUAUAUAUACACACAUACACACACAUAUAUAUAUAGAUACACACACAGGCACACACACACACACACACAUAUAUAUAUAUACAAACACACACACACAGACACACACACAGACACACACACACUUCUACCUCAAACCAAAAAAUCAUGUUUUUGCUGACAUUGUGGCCCAGGUAGGUGUCCAGGAAGUGGCCCUGGGGCCCUGGCACUGUCUCUCCUGAAUCCCAAGGUUUCUAUUGUGUCCCAGCUGGCCAUUGGUGCAGGGAAACAGGUAGAAGUGACAACUUCUAUGUGAUAGGAGGUGCUGUGUGGCCGUGUCAGAAAAAGGAGAGGGAUAUGAUAUGCACCAGCUGUGAGCCCAGCACGUGCCUGGCAACCAGCACAGGUAGCCAAGUGACUGGAGGCCUGCCCUGUGGCCCAUGGCCUGUGGCCUUGCUCCUGGCUGUCACCCUGUUGGAACAUCUGUGUCUCCAGCCUCAGGUCCAGUCACACAGAGGUCAGGGCAUGGCCAGGAAGUGAGUGGGUCCAUCUUUGGGGUUUCUCUGCUGAGUCACACCCAUGGGUUCUACCAAGGCUGCCUGGGCGUGGCUGCCCUCCGGUGGUCAGCUGAGGUGCUGCUCCUUCCUCCCUCU
rnacentral:lncRNA from 1 species